GCUAGCAGUAUAGAUGCAAGUCGAGCGGAUGACGGGAGCUUGCUCCUUGAUUCAGCGGCGGACGGGUGAGUAAUGCCUAGGAAUCUGCCUGGUAGUGGGGGACAACGUUUCGAAAGGAACGCUAAUACCGCAUACGUCCUACGGGAGAAAGCAGGGGACCUUCGGGCCUUGCGCUAUCAGAUGAGCCUAGGUCGGAUUAGCUAGUAGGUGAGGUAAUGGCUCACCUAGGCGACGAUCCGUAACUGGUCUGAGAGGAUGAUCAGUCACACUGGAACUGAGACACGGUCCAGACUCCUACGGGAGGCAGCAGUGGGGAAUAUUGGACAAUGGGCGAAAGCCUGAUCCAGCCAUGCCGCGUGUGUGAAGAAGGUCUUCGGAUUGUAAAGCACUUUAAGUUGGGAGGAA
rnacentral:rRNA from 1 species